CCCUUAGAUGUUCUGGGCUGCACGCGCGCUACACUGAAGCGUUCAACGAGUAUUCACCUUGCCCGGGAGGGUUGGGUAAUCUUUUGAAAACGCUUCGUGAUGGGGAUAGAUUAUUGCAAUUAUUAAUCUUCAACGAGGAAUUCCUAGUAAGCGCGAGUCAUCAGCUCGUGCUGAUUACGUCCCUGCCCUUUGUACACACCGCCCGUCGCUCCUACCGAUUGAGUGGUCCGGUGAGGCCUCGGGAUUGUGGCCAGUUUCCUUCAUUGGGAGUUGGCUGCGAGAACUUGUCCAAACCUUAUCAUUUAGAGGAAGGUGAAGUCGUAACA
rnacentral:rRNA from 1 species